UAUCAAUCAAACGACAUGUGUCAUUUUACUUGAAGUGUGCAGUGCUAUGUAGGUUACCAAGACUAUCAGUAGAUUUUAAAAGGAGCCUACAGUUACUUCACUUUGCUUAGAGAAUAAAGAAAAAGAAAUGUAGCAAGCAAAACACCAACCGAAUAGGAUUGGUGACGUAAUCAAACACGAAUUUCAUAGAUUGCACAUUAGAAUAGAAUAGCAUAGAAAGUAUUUAUUUGUCUCAAUAACAUUAGCGUUAAUUAAAUGUCUUAUAAUGAUA